GUAUCCAUUGAAAGUAGAGACGGCUAGCACUCCCCAUGACAAGGAUGGACCAUCAAAAAAAAAACACAAAAAAACAGGACUCU